AGUUCUCUUAAGAGUCUACAGCUCUUAAGCAAUAAUGAAUGACUGAACAGGGCAGAUCAGAAGCAAUGUUGCCUUGAGCCCCUCUAUCAGGAGAAAGCCUGGUAAAAAUAAAAAUUACAGAGUUGGAAGACACCACAAGGGCCAAGAAGUCCAACCCUCUGCCACAUAGAAACAAACUCCUAUGUGAAAGAACUCCUGACAGAUGACUUUCCAAACUAUGUUUAAAAACAUUCAGUGAAGGAGACUCCACUACAAUCCAAAGGCAACAUACCCCACUUACCAUCAGAAAGUGAUUCUUAAUGUUCAGGUGGAAUCUCGGGCACAACUUCAGCAUUGACACCGUUGCACCUUGCCACAAUUACAAGCUAUCUCUAUAGGU